CAACACUUCUGUGUGAUAGUCUCUGCUGGAGGAAUGUCAAGCUGUGCACUCACAGUUUCAGUGUUUUAGAGCUGAAUCAGGAUGAGACACACUUUGUACAGCGUGCUGGGGUUAUUCUUGCUGAAGAGACUCCUCUAUGGAUUCACUGAAGUGGAAUACAGGCCUACUGUGAGGCAGCAACCCAACUGGCCAAAGAUAUACAGAGGAGAGUGGAUCGUCCUCAGAUGUGAGAUUGACAAUGGAGGAGACUCAGAGUGGGAGUAUGAAUGGAGAACAACGAGUUUAAUAAUGCCUCCAAAUGAAAGUAAAUUCAGGAUUCAAGCUUCCACUGAAUUGUACAGUGGAUGGUACAAGUGUAAGGGCAGAAACAAAACUGGACAGCAACCUGAAACAGAGUGGAGUGAUGACU